AGGGAGGUGCUCAAAUUAGCAGAGGAGCGAACUCGUGAGGCACUGAAGAGCUACGAGGAGGCCAAGGCUGCCCGGCCAAGGAAAGAAUCGGCCGACAAGAAGAAAGGAUGGGAGGCGCCCAACCCGGAGACCGAGGUAUCAAAAAAAGCUCCGCAAGAACUCCUUCCCAGGUAUGACAAGCCGGACAGACGUCUCUGUGUCAAGGAGCGUUGAUCCCUGUCUCUAAAUAAAAUAGUGGAAUUUCGUAAGAAGAUGGGUAGUAUCCAAUAGGAUUCAAUCUCUAGCGAGCGAACCGUCGAGUCCGUGAGAAGAAGUUCUUCCUCCUUGAGAGAAACAAAAGAAAUGAUGGAGUGCUUUUUACUUUUUUAUUUUAGCCGCGAGACCACCUGUCGUGGCAUCAAGACAACUUUGGAAGAUCCAAGUCUCUAAAUUGCGACACUAAGCACCAGAUCAACAACUCUUCCUUGUGUUCCUCUAGGAUCUCUGCCAAGUCUCUCCCGGACAAAUUGGUGGACACAAGUUUUCUUUGGGAAUGAUUCAUAGGAUCUUCGCAAGAAUGAGGUGCCUGGAGUUCGUUCUUGCUCACGAACGAUCAAGGUCUGGGACUCAAGCCAUAUGCUCUGGUGCGUCAAGACUUUCACCAGCAGCUAGAUGAAAAAAUAGAAGCAAACACAUUGUCAAUCCAAUUUGAGGAUUCUUGUUUAGGGAAGUCUUCACCAGGAUAUUGGUCAUAAUUGAAAAUCAUUGUUCGUUAUAGCAUCACACUAUAUUUGCUGACAAGGAAGUUCACCAGACAAGCUUGUGGCCCAAUGUCAGCUCACCCAUUAACCAAUUUAUAAUUCUCCAGAUGAGAGUUUAAACUUGAACAAACUAUUUGUGAGGAUUGUUCAGGCUUUCUGUUGAUCUCUACAUGUGAUCCUCGCGAGCUUACUUCCCCGAUUGAUGCCCGUGCACGACAGGACGACAACGGAGCAACCUCGUCGAGUGCUACGUCCAGAAUGCUAUGUACCAAGGAGGCACCGGAGAUUUACAAGGAGAUGGUAAGAGAAGAGAUCUCCAUCGACACUUACACACUUUCCAGCAUCUCCUCUAGGCACCCGCACUUCGUGAAGAGAUGGAUCAAAGACGUGGCCACCACCACGUCCUUCUGAAAUCCAAGCUCCCCGGCUUUUCACCCCUUCUUUGUCCAAGAGCUUGCAUGCUGCCAGGGCCUUUCGGUCCAUGGCAGCAAUGCGAGACACACUGGAAGAUGCGAUCACAGGGGCUGGAGCCGGAUGCUUUCACGUACGUAGCAAUCCUUGGAGCUUGCUCAGUCCGGAUCCUUUGCGAUAACGGCAAGCACAUCCACAAGUCACAUACUUGAGAGCAAACAACACUUUGGAAACAUAAGUGUGAGGAAGACGCUCCAUCACCAUGUAUCCGAAGUGUGGACUCCAAGAGCUUGUUCCUCACCCUGGAGUUGUAAACUGGAAUUUGUUCAUAAGCCCGCGAGUAUCAACGCUGAGGAUCAUCAAAAACUUGAGUUUUCCAACAGUAUGACAGUCCGAGCAUGGCGUCCAAGAUGAUAAACUGGCAUAUUAUUGCCCGAGAUGGAACUCGGUUUCAUCACUUUGAUAUAGAAUUUGCUCUACUGUCUCUCUUUCUUCUGGGAUUUUAAGUUUCAGUGAUCGAAGAUCAAAUAGAGAUCUCGUCAACCAAAGGGGGAAUUCUACAACAUCGGACGUUGGAAAAACCAUUGUACGGCAAGACACAAAGAGAAGCAGUGAUCACAGUCACUGCUGUUUCUUUCUCAUCACCAUUUAAAAGAAAAGAAAAGAAAAGGAAAAAAAAAACGAACCAUAAUGAUGGGAUGACUAGUUUCUCGAUAGAAGAAGAAAUCCUGGAAAACUGUAAUUAGCUCCUAGAGAGCUGCCAGAGAGAUUUUUAAACUCCAAUCCCUUGAGCUUGCUUCUAAAGCUCCAUUGACCGGAGUUUCCCCGGGAUGUGAUCUCUCACGUUGAAAACCCCGGCCAGCCUCAAAAUGUCCACUAUCGCUUGCACAAACUUGUCGACAUCAGCCAGCAUGUAAGUUAUCACGUUCAUGUUCAUGCGAGCAGAACGGACUCCCGCGUUCGUCACAGAGGGGUCGAGCAAGACCUCUCGUCUCUGGAAAUUACUUUGGAGACCACUACAGUGGUAUAGCUUUCAGCCAAUACACUCCAGAAGUGAAAUUCUACAGGAAACUUAUCAACAAAUUCGCUGGCUGGACGUCCAAGGUUUGGAGAAGCAAUAAGAUCAUGGACAGGGUAAACAGGCACCUCUUUUCAAUCUUGCAAGAUCGGCGUGAGAACCUCCGGUUUUCACCAGCGAGGAGCCCAUGGCAUUCAUAGACGUGCUCAUUUCCAGAGAAAAUCUCUGAGACAUCAUCAUAGUCUCUUGCUCGUUAAGUUUUAGCUCAACAUGGAAAAAUGGAAUCUCACAGGAUCUGUUGCUAGGAGCUCUAGCUACCUCGGCUCUCUCGCUGGAAUGGGCUAUGGCCGAUCUUCUCAGGAAUCGCCGAGUUCUCGGCUCAGAGCCAGAUCGAUGCAAAGAAAAGCUUGUGGACGAGUCGGACAUUGCAAAGCUUCCAUACAUCGAGGCCAUAGCCAAGGAAACACUGAGACUCCUGGCUCAGCUAGCUCUUCCCAAUAUCGUCCAAGGAGGCCCGAUUAAACUCAGGGGCUAUACCAUCCCGGACGAUACCACGAUCUACAUCAACACCUACUGGAUCGCCAUGGACGAGAGGUUUUGGAAAGACCCUCUAGAGUUUCGCCCGCAGUGUUUCAUGCCAGACAUCGAUGCCUUUGGCCAUGGCAGGAGAAUUUGCCCUGGUGCCAAGCUCGGCGACUGGAAGCUGGAUGGUGAUCUGGGGAAGAUGAAUAUGGAUAAAACCUGGUUUGUCUGUCAAUGCUUUCACUGUUGUAGUUUCUUUGAAAGAAAGAUGAUCCCACAUAAAAUAUAAGCUGAUUUCGUGUACGAUUUUAGUCCAACCACAAAAGGUAGCUAUAUUUUAUUCACCAAAGCUGUGCGAGUUAGGGUUUGCGAUGGAGUGGAUGAGCCCAAGACUUAGGGAGGUGCUCAAAUUAGCAGAGGAGCGAACUCGUGAGGCACUGAAGAGCUACGAGGAGGCCAAGGCUGCCCGGCCAAGGAAAGAAUCGGCCGACAAGAAGAAAGGAUGGGAGGCGCCCAACCCGGAGACCGAGGUAUCAAAAAAAGCUCCGCAAGAACUCCUUCCCAGGUAUGACAAGCCGGACAGACGUCUCUGUGUCAAGGAGCGUUGAUCCCUGUCUCUAAAUAAAAUAGUGGAAUUUCGUAAGAAGAUGGGUAGUAUCCAAUAGGAUUCAAUCUCUAGCGAGCGAACCGUCGAGUCCGUGAGAAGAAGUUCUUCCUCCUUGAGAGAAACAAAAGAAAUGAUGGAGUGCUUUUUACUUUUUUAUUUUAGCCGCGAGACCACCUGUCGUGGCAUCAAGACAACUUUGGAAGAUCCAAGUCUCUAAAUUGCGACACUAAGCACCAGAUCAACAACUCUUCCUUGUGUUCCUCUAGGAUCUCUGCCAAGUCUCUCCCGGACAAAUUGGUGGACACAAGUUUUCUUUGGGAAUGAUUCAUAGGAUCUUCGCAAGAAUGAGGUGCCUGGAGUUCGUUCUUGCUCACGAACGAUCAAGGUCUGGGACUCAAGCCAUAUGCUCUGGUGCGUCAAGACUUUCACCAGCAGCUAGAUGAAAAAAUAGAAGCAAACACAUUGUCAAUCCAAUUUGAGGAUUCUUGUUUAGGGAAGUCUUCACCAGGAUAUUGGUCAUAAUUGAAAAUCAU
rnacentral:lncRNA from 1 species